UCAUGAUUUAUAUUAUAAUAAUAACUUCCCUUUUGUUUUAUCAAAUUUCAAGUUAUUUUUCAGAAUACUGAGUGGCAGUGAUAUAGUUCCGAGUUCUACUAUCAAAUACAGUUGCAAGAACUUCACAGAUGCAGUGAAAUCAUCAACAGGAUUCACACCUGUCCUAGUGUGCUCAUACAUCAAAUGGAAAAAUGGCUCCAGUAUGCAUCUGAUCGAUCAAGUUAAGAUAUGUCUGAGCAAGGUGGACUUCUCUCCAAUAGAGUGUCCUAGCAGUGGUCCAGUUAAAACAAAGGGAGACAAUGACUGGACCAAAACAGGGGAUGCAGCUCUGGAAAUAGAGUCUGUAGCGCAGUCUAAUUGCCCGUGUAAAUACAGCUUCGAUUAUCCACCAAUUCAACAUUUUCUAGACUUGAAAAAAGACCUGAAUGUUUAAAAUUGUAUUUUUUGAAAUGAUGUUUGUAUCACAAUGUUUAACAGUUCUGAACUGUAACAAGAAGAAAUGGGUUAUAAAGUAAAUAUGACGUGCACAACCAAUAUGAUGUAUUAGUUUCUUGUUACUGAAAAUAGAACUGUGUUUCCAACAACUUGAUGAAUAUAAAUGAUCAUGGAUACUUUAAAGAUAAUUUACAGUUCUUUUUAUGAAAAGCAUUUUAUGAUAUGAUGCCAAAAACUAAUAAUUGAAAAAUAUACUAUAAGACUGAUUUCUGGUUGUUAUGGUUCAAUAAGUAAACUACAGGACCCAUUUCUGCAUCUUACCGUUCAAUUACCCUAUAGGACCCAUUUCUGCUUGUUACCGCUCAAAUACACUAGGACCCAUUUCUGCUUGUUACAGUUCAAAUACACUAUGAGACCCAUUUCUGCUUGUUACAGUUCAAAUACACUAGGACCCAUUUCUGCUUGUUACAGUUCAAAUACACUUAACUCAUUUCUGCUUGUUACAGUUCAAAUCCACUGUAGGACCCAUUUCUGCUUGUAACUGUUCUAAUCCACUGUAGGACCCAUUUCUGCUUGUAACUGUUCUAAUACACUAGGGAGUUUGAGCCAUCAGGGUUCAACUGUAUUUUUAUUAGCUCAUGAUAGUAACACUGUCUUUUAUUCUAUGUAGCAUUGAUGUACAAAUACAACAGCCAAUAACAUCAGACAUAGUCAUGUAUAAAAUUAAAUAUAAAGUUUCUCAGUGUUUUAUGGUAAAGUUAAUCAUAAAAGUAAAAUCAAAGAUGUUUUAGAUUAUGAACUUUGCAUGUAUUGGGUCAUUGGACAGGGCUGGCCAACUACCAGAAAACUUAAUUUGUGUGUUUUUUUUUCUUUUUUAUCCAUAUAGUUUGAAUUUGAGAAAUUUUUGGUUUAUUAUAAAAAUUGUUUUGUAACUGUAAUUGUUUUGCCUUUAAAUGUACCAAUAUCAGAUAAUCAUAAUCAUAAACUUGAACCAAUUACUGUACUUAGAUAAAAGAUGUCAUUAUACUUCAAGUGCCUAUAUUAAAAAUAUAGAUGCAUAAUUAUUUCUAUGCUCAUCAGUUGUAGAUACAAUUGAACUUCUAAUUAUAAUUUGUGUUAAUUAAACCUCAAAUGAGUUACAGUUAGAUUCUUUGCUUUCAAUAAAUAGCUUAUAUAUUGGA